rnacentral:rRNA from 1 species
GACGAACGCUGGCGGCGUGCUUAACACAUGCAAGUCGAACGGAAAGGCCCUGCUUUUGUGGGGUGCUCGAGUGGCGAACGGGUGAGUAACACGUGAGUAACCUGCCCUUGACUUUGGGAUAACUUCAGGAAACUGGGGCUAAUACCGGAUAGGAGCUCCUGCUGCAUGGUGGGGGUGGGAAAGUUUCGGCGGUUGGGGAUGGACUCGCGGCUUAUCAGCUUGUUGGUGGGGUAGUGGCUUACCAAGGCUUUGACGGGUAGCCGGCCUGAGAGGGUGACCGGCCACAUUGGGACUGAGGUACGGGCAAGACUGCUACGGGAGGCAGCAGUGGGGAAUAUUGCACAAUGGGCGGAAGCCUGAUGCAGCAACGCCGCGUGCGGGAUGACGGCCUGCGGGUUGUAAACCGCUUUCGCCUGUGACGAAGCGUGAGUGACGGUAAUGGGUAAAGAAGCACCGGCUAACUACGUG